UUACAUUUUUUCCUUGUAUUUUUUUCUUUAAUCUCCUAUAGAGCCGCUCUUACUGUGUAACUCUGUUGAAGUACAUUUUUUACCUACAUACAGAUCCAAGAAUAAAUGUUGGCCCUGGCCAUGGAAUAUUCACUCACUUUCAAAACAGGGAUGUGACCUGCCUUCUCCUUCUGUGACUAACAGGGUGACCAGAGGCAGCGGAACAUACACCAGGAUUGGAAAGAAUAAAACCAGAGGGAAAGCAAGCUGUCAAGGGAACAGUGUACUGAAGAAGAAAAACGUAGACACGACUUCUAUUUACCAAGAUUAAUAUGUAAAGUUAACAUGUUUGUCAUGGAAUACAUUAAUAUGUAUAUCUUCCCAUUAUGUAGAUCUUUCCUUAUAUUACUUAUUAGAAAGUGAUAUAAUCACAAUGAUGGGGCAAGGACGUCACUUAAAAAUUAGGUGAUGCCCAGUCAACAUAAUACAACCACUAGUGUCAUUUCUGAUUUAGAUGUAGUGAUAUCAGUGUAAUUGCCGCUGGGAAGAAAUUAUAAUGGCUGUUAAUGAUAAAUAAAAUGACAAGAAGGAGGGUCCUCUUUCACAUGUAAUUCCAAACAAAAUUCAGCUACUGACUUCCUUAAGCAACUCGGUGCCAUUCAUUGACAAAGAAAAAAAUAAGCAGGUGUAGAUGCAUGGCCAUAAAAACUGCAGUAAUUUUCCAAGUCUAAACAUAGAUGCUAAAGGUCUAACAAGAUUUCACCACACUAUUUCCACUCGGGUAAGAUGAAGCAAUGAAUCUCACAUGAGGGGAAUAUUAACACAAAGUUAAGAUUAUUCUAACAAAAAGCACUAGAGCCGACAAACACAUAGGUAAGCAAAAAUACAGUAAAGGCACAUAUACAAUAUGUGGAUACUUUGCAUAGCCCCCACAAAUACUCCAGCUUUGUCUGUGUAAACACUGGCAGCCCUAACCCACAAGAAACUUUCCUACAUUGGUUUUAUAUUAUAGAGGUGUCUAGAGUGAGCUACUCAAAGCAUCAUUUACCCAUUGUGGACAGCUUGUUAGCUUAGUUGGGAGCAUAUUUCAAAUCAUUCAUCCAUUAAAAUUCAGAAAACCUAAGUUUUAUUACUAGUGCUAACAUUAAGAGCAAAGACUAUGCCUUCCCAUCUGUGAAGACCAAGAGUCCAAUCCUUUUCCUCCCUCUGAUUACAGAUGAAUUAAAACACAAUCAACACUAUACUUCACACCUCGUGAAUAAUACAGCUCCACUCUAUGAAAGCAUAAAAAACAACAGUAUGCUGUACAGAAUAGUAGGCAUCUAGGAAAGCAGGUAAGUAUAAGCAAAUCUGUAGUCACAUCUCAAUACUCCCAGUCUCCCACUACCCAAAGCUGGGAGACUGCCUAAUACAUAAAUGCCUGCCCUGUGUUUAAAAUGUCAGCCCCUCUUAAAAGGGUAAUAACACAUACCUGCCAUUUACUCUUCUUUCAGGGUCUUCAAAAAUCAAUAGGUAGAUGAUUUUGUAAGAGUUAAAU